rnacentral:rRNA from 1 species
GACGAACGCUGGCGGCGUGCUUAACACAUGCCAGUCGAACGGAAAGGCCCUGCUUUUGUGGGGUGCUCGAGUGGCGAACGGGUGAGUAACACGUGAGUAACCUGCCCUUGACUUUGGGAUAACUUCAGGAAACUGGGGCUAAUACCGGAUAGGAGCUCCUGCUGCAUGGUGGGGGUUGGAAAGUUUCGGCGGUUGGGGAUGGACUCGCGGCUUAUCAGCUUGUUGGUGGGGUAGUGGCUUACCAAGGCUUUGACGGGUAGCCGGCCUGAGAGGGUGACCGGCCACAUUGGGAAUGAGAUACGGCCCAGACUCCUACGGGAGGCAGCAGUGGGGAAUAUUGCACAAUGGGCGGAAGCCUGAUGCAGCAACGCCGCGUGCGGGAUGACGGCCUUCGGGUUGUAAACCGCUUUCGCCUGUGACGAAGCGUGAGUGACGGUAAUGGGUAAAGAAGCACCGGCUAACUACGUA